CCGCUUUCUCCUGCCCGCCAGUCUUGAAGAGCUUUUGGGACCCUGUACCUGUACCGCCCACCAUUUUUCCGGCUGGAGGACCUCCGGAAACUCUUCACCCUUUCGGAUACAACAGACUAUUGGCAGAAUAAUGAAGAAACCGUUUCUAAUACCAACAUGCACAGAACCGCCUGGAUAAACGGAGGACAUGACCUCCCUCUACAAGGGUCACCCCGAGAACCACGAAAAUUCCUGGUCCCAGCAAGCAAAGUGACCGUUGAGGGGCAGGAAGCCAACGUGGACACAAUACGAUCCUGUCCUGGGCGCUCCUUCCUGAUCCUGCUAAGCGGGGGUCCCAACAGCUGCCAUCACACACAAAUGGAUUCCCUGGGCUGAAGAAGGUUCUUAAGGGCUAAUCCGUGGCAAGACACAGCAACUGUUUGUCUCAUGAGCAGACAGACAGGCAGCCAUGGGGAAAGACAUUUUCAAAAGAAAUUCCUUUCCAAGUAAAUGAAAACAACAUUAACUUCCUCAAAACAUUUCCAGAAUGCAGCCCCGUUUCCGGUGUUUGUUAAGCUGGGUCCGUAUCUCAGUGUGACGGGCUUUCUCCCCCAAGAGGAGGUGGUUGGGUGCAACCUAUUUCUUAAGACAAAUGCAUUCAUAAAUAGGAGAGCCGCUCCUCUACUCUCCUAAGAAUGAACUAAAAAUAUCAAACCAAGCAGGUCUCCAGCUCCCACUCUGCAUGCAUGGAGCCGGACUUUUCCUUUGUCAGGAGCAUUAGGUAACUUUAUUUAUUCCCUGCUUUGUAACAGAUGAUUUCAGGGUGAGUUCUGUAAGCCUCAGUUACAAAGCCCGCUCUAAACUGGCUCUGGAGAAGAUGGAUAACCAUCACAUGGAAACUUUAAGAAUUCAUACUGUAAAGUGCUCAAGGCAGAAAGCAGUAUUAUAGGGGCUGAGGGGGCUUGCUGCCCAAGCAGUGAGAACAGAGUUCAGAUCCCAGCAUCACAUAAAAGCUGGGCUUGUCAGACCUGUAACCCCAAACCUAACUAGGGGAGAGGAACAGGACAGACAGGUCCCCAGGACUCACUGGACAGGAAGCCUAGCCAAGAUGGUGAGCCGGACAUGUCACUAGAGAUAAGGUGGAAAGCAAAGGAAGAAAGGCAGAAUCAACCUCUGGCCUUCAUAUGGCACAUAGUACAUCCACACAUGGUGUGCUCAUGUAUAUUCCUAUUACACACACACACACACACACACACACACACACACACGGGGAGAGGGAGGGGAGGAGAGGAGAAAAAUACAAUGAAAACCUUUUUUUUUUUUUUUUCUGAGGCAGGAUUUCUCUGUGCAGCUCUGGCUGUCCUGUGUGUAGCCCAGGCUGGUCUCGAACUCAGAGAUUGCCUGCCUCUGCCUCCUGAGUGCUGGGAUUAAAGGCAUGUGCCACCACCACCCAGUUUACCGAAAAAGUUUUAAAGUACUGGUUUUGUUGAUGACAUAGUCACCCACAUAUCAAAAUGUUCUUGAUUUUGUUGUGUUUUCUUUUUCUUACGAAGUUUCCCCCAAUCUCUCCAUCUACUACCCUGGACCAAGCUUUCAUUGACAGCUGCCUGGACUAUUGAAAAGUACUAACCCACUAUGCUGUUCCCAGCUUCCCUCCUUACAGUGGACACUUUUGACAGUUCUGAUGCACUGCUGUCCGAAUAACCUGCUAAAACGUGGCCUUCCCAUUACUACCCUUCCACCUUAGAACCUCAGCCAGUUCCCCGACACAAAUCAUCAGCGCUCUGGCACCCAGACGCAUCUCUCCUUCUCAGUCUCCUCUGUCCUGUAAUUGCUUUGUUCCGAUGUCUUUCUGGUCAAUGGCACCACGUCCCAAACCAUCUUGUUUUCCUGAUGGCCACUCGCUGUAGCACCUUCACUGUCCACAGUGCUAAUGAUCCUUCAGGGCUGAUCCAGUACCACGUCUGCACAACUCUAACGGGAACACUUCAGCCGGGUCCCCUGUCCUCAGCACCACGGCACCUACCUAUGCACUCAUGAGACAUGAGCCAGUGUGGUUAUAUUCCAGCUCUCUUUAGAUCAAUGUAUUGUUCCUCCUACACCAAUCUAAGCCACUUGAGAAUACUGACUCAUUUCUUUUACUACAGAGAAUGUGCUCACCUCAUGCUGAGCAACUUGAAUGGCUACUGAAUAGACUUGCCUUCAGUGAGUUUAGCUUCUUGAGAGGUGUAUACGCACCCCAGGGGUACACUAGGAACACAGGAAAUAAAAAAUAAAGAUGGCAAUGCAUCUUUGAUAAGUUCAUUUUACUUCAGGAACUCCAGACAUUAUCUUAAAAAUGAAACCAAAAUAAUCCAGAGUAGAUUUGCAUUUACAAGUGAAUUUUUAAGAUAAUAAAAUUUAAUACGUGUUUAGUGAUCCACAUUUGUAAUCCCAUCACUUGUGAGGCAGAGGCAGGAGGCUUACACACAUUCAAGGAUAAUCUGGUUUUCAAAGUGAGUCCUGAGCCAGUAAAAAACUGUUUCAAAUGACCUCAGAGAGACAAAGAGCAGAGGCUCGUUAGACGGCUCAGAUGAAGCGGUUGGUUCUCAACCUUCCUCACGCUGCGGCCCUUUAAUAAAGUUCCUCAUGUGGCAGUGACCCUCAACCGUAAAUUAUUUCAUUAUUACUUCAUAACUAUAAUUUUGAAACUGUUAUGAACUGCAAUAUAAAUAUCUGAUAGGCAGGCAACAACACAUAUACAUCACACAGUGCAGGCAACAGCACAUACACCAUAUAGUGCAGGCGACAACACAUGUACAUCACACAGUGCAGGCGACAGCACAUAUAUACCAUACAAGCAUACACAAAAUAAUGAUAAAGUUAGACUACAAAAAAAAAGAGAAGAAAACCAUCUAAGCAAACAAACCAGUACAAUUUAAAAUGAAAUGGGAGCUGUCAAAUAUGUGUCUAGCCCUCAAAAGUUAUUUUGAACAAUACUUUCGGGUCAUCUGUUCCUUCUAGAAGUGAGUUUGAAUCCUUGUGCCAGUGGGAACAUUUGUGUGGCAGUGUCUAAGAAUCACCCUACGGAUUUCAAACGAGGAAUGGGAGCAAAGCGCAGCCGUCUCCCCUUUUCGUCUUUAUUGAUACCGUCUCUGUUUUCAUCCUCGUGGGUAACAGAGACUAACUCUGAAGCUUGUCUUCCAAGUCUAGGCACCCUUGGUUAGUGGAUGCUUGUGGCAUCAGGUGUAAAUGCUGGGAAUGGAGUUUAGUAUGAAUACUCCCAAAAUUACCGAUAUUUAGAAGCCUAAAUGGCGAUGAUUUCCCCCAAACGAGAGCCAUCCUCCACAAGAGUGGCUCAUGCUUUCCAACAAUGUAAGGAAUAAAAAGCAUGUUUUAGUUCAAAACCAAAAGUGGUUUUAAAAGCAUUUUGAGGGUUUAAUUGACUUUUUAUCUUAAUUUACUGGUUUUGAAAGCCAGAGUAAUUUUGUGUUCUACUUUUGAAGGUGAAAUUUAUUAUUUGAGCCUGAAAAAAGAAGUCUUUGUAUCUGAGUAGAUGUGCCUACCCACUUGUCUCUCUCCCUAUCUUCCACUCCAGCUACAGGGGCUCCAAAGCCCUCUUCUCGCCUCCCCAGGUUCCCGUACAUACAUGAAGACAAACACACAUACACACAAACAAUUAAAAUAAACCUUAAAACUUUUAAAUAAUGCUGGGCGGUGAUGGCGCACACCUUUAAUCUCAGCACUGAGGAGGCAAGUGGAUCUCUAUGAGGUCCGGGACAGCCAGGACUACGCAGAGAAACCAUGUCUCCAACAAACAAACAAACUUUUAAAUAAAAACGAGAGACUCCAGUGUAGCUGGAGUUUUCUCCAGUUCUGCUCAGUCCCAGGGACCCCACAACCGCUUAUAAAAUAAUCUUUCAGAAGCUCAUAUUAGUUAAACUGCUCGGCCAUUAGCUCAGGCUGCUGUGGGAUGGUCUGUAUGUCAAAUGUGUUGCUGAUUGGUCAAUAAAUAAAUCACUGAUUGGUCAGUGGCCAGGCAGGAAGUAUAGGCGGGACAAGGAGGAGAAUAAAGCUGGGAAGUGGAAGGCUGAAUCAGAGAGACACUGCCAGCCGCCAUGAUGACAAGCUGCAUGUGAAGAUGCCGGUAAGCCACGAGCCAUGUAGCAAGGUAUAGAUUUAUAGAAAUGGAUUAAUUUAAGCUGUAAGAACAGUUAGCAAGAAGUCUGCCACGGCCAUACAGUUUGUAAGCAAUAUAAGUCUCUGUGUUUAUUUGGUCGGGUCUGAGCGGCUGUGGGACUGGCAGGUGAGAGAGAUUUGUCCUGACUGUGGGCCAGGCAGGAAAACUCUAGCUACAAAUGGCAUCCAACGUGGUGGCAAGAGUUUCCACCUAAAAACUGAGAAAAAAGAUUCUAAAACGGAGCUAAAAACAGCUUCCUAAUUGUCUCUCUCAAAUGAGCGGCAGCUGCCGGUUUGAGCUACUUGUGGGUUCCUAGUGUGAGCGCUUGACCAGCAGUAUGGCGGGAAUGAGGCCUCUGCAAGUGGCACAUUAAGCUGCACAGUGGAUUUAGCCUUUGCUAGUACAAAACAAAAAAAGAGGUUUCUGGGCUACAUGCUGCUUGGCUAAAAGCAUAGACCCACGAUAGCUCCCAGAGCUGGCGGAAAACCACCGCCAUGUUGGGAAGCUGAGGUGGGCGGAGCCAGCAGCCACAGCUGCUGCAGCUUAAAGCAAUAGAUUCACAAUAAGACAGAUUCAGAUGUAAUAGUUUACAAUGUGUGUAAAAUAUACGUAGGCUUGAAAGAGACAAAAAAGGUGAUAUAUACAGUUAUAUAAACAAAUACAUAGUUUUAAAAAAUAAAGUCUUUAAAGGGACAGUAAAAUUAAUAUAAAAAAUAAGCCACGUGAAGAUGACUAUUACACAGAGAAUCUGGAUUGUGUUGUCUUUGGGAUUUUUAACUGCAGAAAAACAUUUGAUUGUAAAAGCUGUUGAGUUAUGCCAAAAUGUAUAUUUUAAAGGUACCUUGACUUCAAAAUUUGGAUAUAAGGAUAUGUUGCUUUGGAAAGGAGAUUCUGCUUUUGUUCCCACAGAAAGCCAGAGGCUAUGGAUUUGUUCCAGAUUAAGAUACAUCAGGUUUGACCAGCCAAGACCCCCUGAAAGGUGACACCAAGGCCCAGAUGAUCCAACAUCCAGAAUGGUUUCAAGGCAACUGGCUCAGAUGAUACAGCCUCACGGACUACUCCAUGAUCCUAAAAUUUUCUUUGUUUCCCCAGAAGAUGCAGCGCCCCCCUCCAGCAGGAAGUAGUAAGAGAAGCUACGCCCAAAUUCCCAAAUAUACCAAGCUGACUUUGGAGAUGUGUAAAGGUUAAAACCUUCCUUUUUAAGAAAAGAAAAGGGGAAGUGCUGUGGGAUGGUCUGUAUGUCAAAUGUGUUGCUGAUUGGUCAAUAAAUAAAUCACUGAUUGGUCAGUGGCCAGGCAGGAAGUAUAGGUGGGACAAGGAGGAGAAUAAAGCUGGGAAGUGGAAGGCUGAGUCAGAGAGAGACACUGCCAGCCGCCAUGAUGACAAGCCGCAUGUGAAGAUGCCGGUAAGCCACGAGCCAUGUGGCAAGGUAUAGUUUUAUAGAAAUGGAUUAAUUUAAGCUGUAAGAAUAGUUAGCAAGAAGUCUGCCACGGCCAUACAGUUUGUAAGCAAUAUAAGUCUCUGUGUUUACUUGGUCGGGUCUGAGUGGCUGUGGGACUGGCGGGUGAGAGAGAUUUGCCCUGACUGUGGGCCAGGCAGGAAAACUCUAGCUACACUCAGGCCUACUACUGACUAGCUCUUACACUUAAACUUGGCCCAUUUCUGUUAAUCUAUAUGUUGCCAUGUGUUCCUGGCUUUACCUGCUGCCUUUACAUGCUGUUCCCUGGACGGCAGGCUGGCGUCUCCUGACUCAGCCUUCCUGUUCCCAGAAUUCUCUUCUCUGCUUGUCCCACCUAUACUUCCUGCCUGGCUACUGGCCAAUCAGCAUUUUAUUAAUACAGAGCAAUUAUCCACAGCACUCCAGGGUGGUUCCUGUAGAAUGUGAACUGAGGUUUCGGCUUUUCCACUUACCUGCUGCUUGUACUAUUCCACUUACCCCCCAAAGUCCCAUCUUGAUUCUGUAAAGCUGGGCAUAUUAAUAACUACUUUUGAAAUAAUAGGAGAGUAAAAGAAAAUGUUUUAAAGGCGCCAUGUAGGUUGGGGAUGUGUCUUAGCUAGUGUCUUAGUUACUGCUCUAUUGCUGUGAAGAGACACCACAACCAUGACCAUGGCAACUCUUACAAAGGAAAACAUUUAAUUGAGGUGGUGGCUUACAGUUUCAGAGGUUCAGUCCAUUAUCAUCCUGGUGAGACAAGAUGGCAGGCAGGCAGAUAUAGUGCUGGAGAAGUAGCUGAGAGUCCUACAUCUUGCAGGCAAUAGGAAGUCAACUGAGACACUGGCUGGUAUUCUGAGCAUAGGAAACUUCAAAGCUCAUCCCCACAGUGACACACUUCCUCUAACAAGGCCAUAUCCACUCCAACAAAGCCACACCUCUUAAUAGUGCCAUUCCCUCUCAGAUUAUGGGGGCCAAUUCCAUUCAGAUUGCCACAGCUGGUAAAGGGCUUGACUGACAUUUAGAAAGCCUUCAUUGAGUUCAGGCUCCAGCACUGUUUAAACUGGGACAACACUGCUUGCCUGUGGUCCCAGCACACAGAAAACUAAGGCAGGAAGAUUAUUGUGAGUUCAAGGGUCAACCUGGGCUACAUGAGAGCCUGCAUUCAAACAAAUAACAACAACAAAAAGCUGAUGGAAGGUACACCAAUUCCAAACAAAGACAAAAAUAUGAUGAAAGUCACCAUAUAAAUGCAAGUGGUUUGUUUGUUUGGUUUGGUUUGUUUUUGUUUCUGUUUGCUUGUUUGGUUGGUUUUUAGUUUCUUGAAACAGAGCUUCUCUGUAUAGCCCUGGCUGUCCUGGAACUCACUUUGUAGACCAGGCUGGUCUCUAACUCACAGAGAUCUGCCUGCCUCUGCAAGUGCUGGGAUUAAAGGCAUGUGCUACCACACCCUGCCCUUGUUUUGUUUUUUAACAUAAUUUUCCCCAGCAAAAAUUAUAGUUUGAGGGAGUUUAGAAAUGUAGCUUAUUUGCUUACCUAACAGUGAAGCCCUGGAUUUGAUUCCCAGCACUGCAUAAGCUGGACAUGGUGGUGAACACCUUCUAACGCCUUCUAACAUUCCAUUUGGGAGAUGGAAUCAGGAAGAUCAGAGGUUCCAGGCCAUCUUUCUACACUGAGCAAAUUUGAGGGUAGCUUAGCUAUA